rnacentral:rRNA from 1 species
GAGAGGUAACGGCUCACCAAGGCAUCGACGGGUAGCUGGUCUGAGAGGAUGAUCAGCCACACUGGAACUGAGACACGGUCCAGACUCCCACGGGAGGCAGCAGUGGGGAAUCUUGCACAAUGGGCGAAAGCCUGAUGCAGCGAUGCCGCGUGCGGGAAGAAGGCCUUAGGGUUGUAAACCGCUUUCAGGAGGGAAGAAAAUGACGGUACCUCCAGAAGAAGGUGCGGCCAACUACGUGCCAGCAGCCGCGGUGACACGUAGGCACCAAGCGUUAUCCGGAUUUAUUGGGCGUAAAGAGCUCGUAGGCGGUUUGGUAAGUCGGGUGUGAAAACUCUGGGCUCAACCCAGAGAGGCCACUCGAUACUGCUAUGACUAGAGUACGGUAGGGGAGCGGGGAAUUCCUGGUGUAGCGGUGAAAUGCGCAGAUAUCAGGAGGAACACCAGCGGCGAAGGCGCCGCUCUGGGCCGUAACUGACGCUGAGGAGCGAAAGCAUGGGUAGCAAACAGGAUUAGAUACCCUGGUAGUCCAUGCCGUAAACGUUGGGCACUAGGUGUGGGUCUCAACCAACGAGAUCCGCGCCGUCGCUAACGCAUUAAGUG